rnacentral:tRNA from 1 species
GAGGGUGUAGCUUAGUGGCAGAGCGCAUGCUUAGCAUGCACAGGUUCCUGGGUUCAAUCUCCAGUACCUCCU